rnacentral:rRNA from 1 species
UACAGAGGUGGCAAGCGUUGUUCGGAAUUACUGGGCGUAAAGGGCGCGUAGGCGGCCAUCUAAGUCAGACGUGAAAUCCCCCGGCUUAACCUGGGAACUGCGUCUGAUACUGGACGGCUGGAGUUUGGGAGAGGGAUGUAGAAUUCCAGGUGUAGCGGUGAAAUGCGUAGAUAUCUGGAGGAACACCGGUGGCGAAGGCGGCAUCCUGGACCGGUAUUGACGCUGAGGCGCGAAAGCCAGGGGAGCAAACGGG